UACGUAGGGGGCAAGCGUUGUCCGGAUUUAUUGGGCGUAAAGCGCACGUAGGCGGCUUCGCAAGUCCCAUGUGAAAGCCCACGGCUUAACCGUGGAAGUGCAUGGGAAACUGCAGAGCUUGAGUACUUAAGAGGAUCGCGGAAUUCCCGGUGUAGCGGUGAAAUGCGCAGAUAUCAGGAGGAACACCAAUGGCGAAGGCAGCACUCUGGGACGUGACUGACGCUGAGACGCGAAAGCGUGGGGAGCAAACAGG
rnacentral:rRNA from 1 species